UCUGACUUAACAUAUAUAAAUGUAAAAGAUUGUAAAUCUUUAAAAAGCAAAAUUGCUA
rnacentral:tRNA from 1 species